rfam:Apaloderma vittatum contig21693, whole genome shotgun sequence.
GGGCCGGUCAGCUCAGUUGGUUGGAGCAUGGUGCUGCUAACACCAAGGUCACAGGUUCGAUUCCUGUUUGGUCCC